CCUGAGCUGAGCCUGCAUAAGCGGCCCUAGAAGGAGAUUGUCGCGGUUGUCAUGAGACGACUCAACGUUGUCGGAAAAGCCAAGAUGCCCACUGAAAAGAGUCAGAUUCAGGAGAGGGAGAGACAAUUCAGGGAGGCAGCAAUCACUGCAGGGUU